rnacentral:rRNA from 3 species
GGGUUGUGAGGUUAAGCGACUAAGCGUACACGGUGGAUGCCCUGGCAGUCAGAGGCGAUGAAGGGCGUGCUAAUCUGCGA